rnacentral:rRNA from 1 species
AUUGAACGCUGGCGGCAGGCCUAACACAUGCAAGUCGAACGAGUGGCGGACGGGUGAGUAAUGUCUGGGAAACUGCCUGAUGGAGGGGGAUAACUACUGGAAACGGUAGCUAAUACAGCAUACCAUCGGAUGUGCCCAGAUGGGAUUAGCUAGUAGGUGGGGUAAAGGCUCACCUAGGCGACGAUCCCUAGCUGGUCUGAGAGGAUGACCCGCCAGACUGGAACUUAGACACGGUCCCGACUCCUACGGGAGGCAGAAGGGGUGAAUAUUGCACAAUGGGCGCAAGCCUGAGGCCGCCAUGCCGCGUGUAUGAAGAAGGCCUGCGGGUUGUAAAAUACUUUCAGCGGGGAGUCGUUACCCGCAGAAGAAGCACCGGCUAACUCCGUGCCAGCAGCCGCGGUAAUUC